UAAAUCAGAAGAAAAUACACAAGUAAAAUAAAUACAGAUUCGUAAGAAUAACGACCUUUAUCUUAGAUGCAAGGUGAUCAAUAAUAGUACAAGUCAAGUACCUCAUAAAAUAAGUUAUUUGGCACGCUAAAUGAAGGUUAUGAGGUUAGUAUUGUCGGACUGAGAUAUGAGGAAUUGCUAUUAAAUCCAAGGUUAUAACCAUAUUCACAGAAAUUGUAGAUACUACAGCAUCAUGAAUAUUCAGUAAUACAUUUAGGCACAA
rnacentral:lncRNA from 1 species